AAGGGUAUAGUUCAACGGUAGAAUAACGGUCUCCAAAACCGCCGAUGCAGGUUCGAAUCCUGUUGCCCUUGCCA
rnacentral:tRNA from 1 species